rnacentral:rRNA from 1 species
CUAACAGGAAACGUACAGGCAAGUUAGAGUUACCCCUCUCACAGGAUACCUGAAGUACUAAAAUAAUUAAUACACAUGCAAACGAUAUAAACAGAACACAGGAAUAAACGACGUGCUGUGCACGACUAUGACCAGGUACUGAAUAAAACACGGACCGCAAAACUCGUAUAAACCAAAACAAAAGAACGACAAGACAAGACAGCAGCUCGUGUGGUGACUCCAGCCCUCCACCAGGCCGGGUUGUGUCUGCAGAACACAAAUCAUAAAUUAAAAACCUAACGGAGGCAGAAAUGCGUAGACGAUGGGAACCACGUUAAUAUUCGUGGGCCUGGUGGUAGUGACGGAUCGCGCAGAGCUGUAUUCCCUUAUCGGAUUGGGAGUGCAGUGAGCCGGUUCCAGGAAAUAGCUCCACCAACAUAGACCGUACCCUAAACCGACACAGGUGGACUGGUAGAGUAUACCAAGGCGCUUGAGAGAACUAUACUGAAGGAACUCGGCAAAUUGCACGCGUAACUUCGGGAUAAGCGUGACCUCACAUCGGGAACCGGUGGCGGG